rnacentral:rRNA from 1 species
GGGUCAGUAGGUUGGUCGUGCCACCGGUACGUACUGGUCUCACUGAUUCCUCCUUCCUGAAGAACCGUAAUGCCAUUAAUUUGGUGUUGCGGGGAAACAGGACUGUUACUUUGAAAAAAUUAGAGUGUUUAAAACAAGCUAACGCUUGAAUACAUUAGCAUGGAAUAAUGAAAUAGGACGAUCGAUCCUAUUUUGUUGGUUUCUAGGAUUGACGUA